rnacentral:rRNA from 1 species
AGUGAACGCUGGCGGUAGGCCUAACACAUGCAAGUCGAGCGGCAGCACAGUAAGAGCUUGCUCUUACGGGUGGCGAGUGGCGGACGGGUGAGGAAUACAUCGGAAUCUACUUUUUCGUGGGGGAUAACGUAGGGAAACUUACGCUAAUACCGCAUACGACCUACGGGUGAAAGCAGGGGAUCUUCGGACCUUGCGCGAUUGAAUGAGCCGAUGUCGGAUUAGCUAGUUGGCGGGGUAAAGGCCCACCAAGGCGACGAUCCGUAUCUGGUCUGAGAGGAUGAUCAGCCACACUGGAACUGAGACACGGUCCAGACUCCUACGGGAGGCAGCAGUGGGGAAUAUUGGACAAUGGGCGCAAGCCUGAUCCAGCCAUACCGCGUGGGUGAAGAAGGCCUUCGGGUUGUAAAGCCCUUUUGUUGGGAAAGAAAAGCAGCAGGUUAAUACCCCGCUGUUCUGACGGUACCCAAAGAAUAAGCACCGGCUAACUUCGUG